GCGGUGGUAGUUCAGCGGUAGACUGUCUCCUUCCCCAGGAGAAGGUCGCCGGUUCAAAUCCGGUCCACCGCU
rnacentral:tRNA from 1 species